CCCAUUGCUGCUGCUGCUGCUGCUGCUCUCUAAAUACCUGCGGGGUCCUCAGUCCAGGGAAACGCCAGCCUGGCCCCUGGAAAUUGAGGGGAAAAGGAAUAAAACUGGGUAAGAGCAGCUGAGCCUGUGCUGGCCUGUCCCUAGGGGACCCUCCCUAUGUGUUCAACGGCAGCAGCGGGCUGGAUCCCAGCCUCCCGGUGCCGAAUCUUUCGGGAUGGCUUCAGGAAUCAGCGUGUGGAGUGAUAAGCUACCCUGGCUCGAGAUGCUCAUUUCCAAAGAUUACCCAAAAACCUCGUCCUGGAAGAAGCCGUCUCCUUUGAAGCACCACCAUCCCAUGCCGGCUCGCGGGUAUCUCCAUUGCUGGAAGCAGGGCGAUGUGACCUGUGCGGAGAGGGGAUGCUGCCGUUCUGGUCGGCCCAUCCCUGGCCACCGCGGCUUCGCCGUCAUGCUCGGAGCAGGGAAAAGUGCUGGCCGCAAUACCAGCGGAUGCCCAAAAUCCUCCUGCCAGCUUUCUCAGGAAGGUUAGAGGUUGUUCGCGGAGACGAUGUGGGAAAGAUGAAAAUCCCCCCUCCCCUGGCGGUGACCCUCCCCUGGGGAAGCGGCACUCGCUGGGAGCUGACUCCUCUCGUUUUCUGGAAAGCAGCGCUUUGAGCAAACUAUUUAUAAACUGAGUUUUCUUUAACUCCUGAAAUUGAGCCAUAACUUCAGACAAACAGGAAAAAAAAAAAAAAAAAAGAGAUGCAGGCAAAUAAAUGCAGGCAAAAAUAAAUAUACAGGCAGCCUAAAUUUGCAAAGCAACUAGUAAUUCUGGGAAGAGCUGGGAUUUGGAGACUUCUACAAUGGGGCUGGUAAAGAGUCUUCUCAAAAGGCUUCCAGUGGCCCAGGGGGCUGAGGACGAGCAGUGGCACUACCUGUGGGAUGGGGCCGGUGGGAUUUUGCCCGGCUGCCCAGCGCUGUGACUGCUCCCCGACUGAAAUCCUGCUGAUAUUUAAGCCUCGCAUCGCCUCUGCCCACCGGUAAUGACCGCGCUGGGAAAUGCCAGGCAGCGUGACCUUUCUCAGCGCGUCCUGCACGGCUCCUGCCCAGGUUCGUGCAGGGGAUUUAUGGCCCCUUACCACCCAUGUUUUUACAGGCUCAUUUAUCGCCACGGCCUCAAAUGCCAGCGGGGUCGGGCGAUGCCGCCCAGCCCACGCCAUGGGCACGGUCAGGAUGGUGCGGGCUGCCCCGUGAUGCUCCUGCAUCCCAUGGUGCCCCAGCAUCCAUAUGGCACCAGGGGCUUGUUUCAGGCUGCUGGAUGGGCAGCACCUCCCUUUCCUAUCAGACCACCUCUUUUAUUUUAAGCCUUUCUUCCAGCUCAUGCUGCCAUGGGACUCGCUGGCACGUGCCCACCCACGGCAUCCCCGCUUCUCCCUCCCACC